AGGACGAACGCUGGCGGCGUGCUUAACACAUGCAAGUCGAGCGGAAAGGCCCUUCGGGGUACUCGAGCGGCGAACGGGUGAGUAACACGUGAGUAAUCUGCCCCUAGCUCUGGGAUAGCUCCGGGAAAACCGGGAUUAAUACCAGAUACGACCACUUUAGACAUCUUCUGUGGUGGAAAGAACUUCGGCUAGGGAUGAACUCGCGGCCUAUCAGCUUGUUGGUGAGGUAACGGCUCACCAAGGCGACGACGGGUA
rnacentral:rRNA from 1 species